rfam:Octopus bimaculoides Scaffold13727_contig_23, whole genome shotgun sequence.
AUACUGACUUCGGUAGUAUAGAUUCUAAAACUGGAACGCUACAGAGAAGAGUAGCAUGGCCCUUGUGCAAGGAUGACACGCAAAUUCGUGAAGCGUUCCAUAUUUCU